UACGAAGGGGGCUAGCGUUGUUCGGAAUCACUGGGCGUAAGGGGCGCGUAGGCGGCUUGAUAAGUCGGGGGUGAAAUCCUGGAGCUCAACUCCAGAACUGCCUUCGAUACUGGCGAUCUCGAGUUCGGGAGAGGUGAGUGGAACUGCGAGUGUAGAGGUGAAAUUCGUAGAUAUUCGCAAGAACACCCGUGGCGAAGGCGGUUCUCUGGGACGGUACUGACGCUGAGACGCGAAAGCGUGGGGGAGCGAACAGG
rnacentral:rRNA from 1 species